rnacentral:lncRNA from 1 species
UUCAUUUGAUGUAGUAAAUGAGCGAAGCUUUUGAAUAUAAGGGAUGUUUGUAAGUAAUUGGCUUUUUCUUAGUUUUGGAUUCAAAAUUUUAAAUAAUCUCAUAUGUAAUUUAAAGCCCUAAUUUUUCCCAAGACAUGGUUCCAUGGCCAUAAUAUUCAAGGAACAAAAUCCCUUCUUACUUCUUUCCUCUAGAAGAAUAAUGGAGGGGAGCUAAUCAAACAUGGGUGAGGCUCCAUUUCUGAUACACUGGAGAUGAAAUCAUGGGAGAGGCUCAAGUCUCUUUGACCAC